GAUGAACGCUGGCGGCGUGCUUAACACAUGCAAGUCGAACGAUGAAGCCCAGCUUGCUGGGUGGAUUAGUGGCGAACGGGUGAGUAACACGUGAGUAACCUGCCCUUAACUCUGGGAUAAGCCUGGGAAACUGGGUCUAAUACCGGAUAGGAGCGUCCAUCGCAUGGUGGGUGUUGGAAAGAUUUAUCGGUUUUGGAUGGACUCGCGGCCUAUCAGCUUGUUGGUGAGGUAAUGGCUCACCAAGGCGACGACGGGUAGCCGGCCUGAGAGGGUGACCGGCCACACUGGGACUGAGACACGGCCCAGACUCCUACGGGAGGCAGCAGUGGGGAAUAUUGCACAAUGGGCGCAAGCCUGAUGCAGCGACGCCGCGUGAGGGAUGACGGCCUUCGGGUUGUAAACCUCUUUCAGUAGGGAAGAAGCGAAAGUGACGGUACCUGCAGAAGAAGCACCGGCUAACUACGUG
rnacentral:rRNA from 1 species